AAUGUCUGAGUCACUGUGACUAGCACAAUCGGUUGACGAAUCGAUUGAAGCUAAAUGUUUGAGUUACAGGAAGAAUUCAGCUCAUUGCCAAAUCGAUUAGGACUAUGGAUAUACGUCGACUAAGCAAUCGAUUGUUUUGAUCUCGUUGUUUGAACAAAACACCUAUAAUCGAUUACUCAAUCGAUUCUGAUAUAUUCUUAGUUUCAGUUUAUGAUUCAUGUAUUAAAAGAAUCGAUUGGCAAAUUGAUCCAUGCUUAUAUUUUCAAGAUUCAAGAAAAACAAGACACACGAAAAUCGAUUGGGCAAUCGAUUAACCUAGCUUUAAACCUUUAUACAAUCGAUUGAGCAAUCGAUUGUCCUGAUGUUUUUCUGAAUAUAUAUAAGCUGAUUCAAUCACUUUUUCAAAAUAACUUUUUGAAUAACAACUGUUACACUUUUCAUAAACACAAAAAGACUGAAAAACACUUUGAGAGAAAAGUUGUUACAACACACAAAUACUCAUUGGCUAAAUACUUUUGUGUGAAAUCCUACAUUGUGAUUGAGUCAAAGUCUUGAUAUUCUUUAAUUCUUUGUGAAAGACAAAUUUCUGUAAUUGAAGUUUUAGAAAUCAGUAAGUACACUGGUGGUUAUCUUUGGGGAUGCUUGUGUUCAUCUAAAAGAAGCCUCAGCUUGAUCUCGCUAGAGUUUGACGAUUAACUCUUAGGGAUAGGUUGGUAUUGCUAUAGAAGUGGUUGUGAGUUGGAUGGAUAGGCUGUGACGCUGGAAAGUCUCUAAAAAUAUUCCUCAAAUCAUUCUAGUUUAAACCUUUAUACAAUCGAUUGAGCAAUCGAUUGUCCUGAUGUUUUUCUGAAUAUAUAUAAGCUGAUUCAAUCACUUUUUCAAAAUAACUUUUUGAAUAACAACUGUUACACUUUUUUCAUAAACAAAAAGACUGAAAAACACUUUGAGAGAAAAGUUGUUACAACACACAAAUACUCAUUGGCUAAAUACUUUUGUGUGAAAUCCUACAUUGUGAUUGAGUCAAAGUCUUGAUAUUCUUUAAUUCUUUGUGAAAGACAAAUUUCUGUAAUUGAAGUUUUAGAAAUCAGUAAGUACACUGGUGGUUAUCUUUGGGGAUGCUUGUGUUCAUCUAAAAGAAGCCUCAGCUUGAUCUCGCUAGAGUUUGACGAUUAACUCUUAGGGAUAGGUUGGUAUUGCUAUAGAAGUGGUUGUGAGUUGGAUGGAUAGGCUGUGACGCUGGAAAUUCUGUAAAAAUAUUCCUCAAAUCAUUCUAGUGAAAGGCUGAAAUCUGUGUUGGAUUUCAGGACUGCAUGUAGG
rnacentral:lncRNA from 1 species